UACGUAGGCAGCGAGCGUUGUUCGGAGUUACUGGGCGUAAAGAGUGCGUAGGCGGUGCUCUAAGUUUGGUGUGAAAUCUCCCGGCUCAACUGGGAGGGUGCGCCGAAAACUGGAGUGCUCGAGUAUGGGAGAGGUAAGCGGAAUUCCUGGUGUAGCGGUGAAAUGCGUAGAUAUCAGGAGGAACACCUGCGGUGUAGACGGCUUACUGGACCAUGACUGACGCUGAGGCACGAAAGCGUGGGGAGCAAACAGG
rnacentral:rRNA from 2 species